rnacentral:rRNA from 1 species
UACAGAGGGGGCAAGCGUUGUUCGGAAUUACUGGGCGUAAAGGGCGCGUAGGCGGCCUGCUAAGUUGAACGUGAAAUCCCCGAGCUCAACUCGGGAACUGCGUCCGAUACUGGCAGGCUUGAAUCCGGGAGAGGGAUGCGGAAUUCCAGGUGUAGCGGUGAAAUGCGUAGAUAUCUGGAGGAACACCGGUGGCGAAGGCGGCAUCCUGGACCGGCAUUGACGCUGAGGCGCGAAAGCUAGGGGAGCAAACGGG